UCCCUAGUGGUUCAGUGGUUAAGACUCCACACUCCCAAUGCGGGGGGCCUGGGUUCGAUCCCUGGUCAGGGAA
rnacentral:tRNA from 1 species